GGCCCCGUAGCUCAAUUGGAUAGAGCAUCAGACUUCGAAUCUGAGGGUUGGAGGUUCAAAUCCUUCCGGGGUCACCA
rnacentral:tRNA from 1 species